GGAAACUUGUGGAUUAAAGAUACCUCUAGUCUGGUCAGACCUUGUCGUCACGGUUGCGACGGAGUUUCUCCUACUUGGUAAAAAUGUUUUGGGAAGCAGUUGAGUUCGUCGGCUAUUACUUCACGACAAUAGUGGAGAUAGAUCGUUGGGGUAAAAUUGUCCCUGGAUCAUCACGGUUCCCUGAUGACAGAGAUCCUCCAGGUGGCGGGCGCAUGGGCAGGAUAUACUACAGGGGAGGGCCCGAUCCCCCACCAAUGGGAUGAGGAAGGUAAACGCCUACACAUCCAGUGUAGGCGAUGGGCGCAUGGCAUGUUAACAUGUCUGCAAUCAUGGUCAUUGGUUGCCUCUGCCGUUGGCAGAUUUUGAUGCCAUCCUGGGAAUUCCUACAUUGUAGGGGCCAGGCUGGCUGAUGUGGCAGCCGACUUCAGCUCUGCUCUAUCCGCUCACUUGCCUUCAUUCUUUCUGCUUCUCACCAUUUACUAACCCGGUUGUUCAUUUCAAACCCUGAAAUAUACAUUGAUGAUGAAGUUAUGAUGUUGAAUUAUGCAUACAUAUAAACAGCUAAAUUACUAUUUACAUCACAACUGUUUAUUUGAGAAGUUUCAAUUUGACUUUCGUCCUCACCACAGCACUUAUACAGCGCUAGUUAAAUUUGUUAAUGACCUAAGAAUGAACAUGGAUGACAAGAAACUGUCAAUAUUAGUACUUUUAGACUUAAGUUGAUCAUGACUACAGCAUUAUGUUGGCCUCUUCGGUUCAGUUUUAGACUGGUUUAGGACUUAUUUGUCCGGCAGAGACUUUUUUGUUUCCAUUGGUGACCAUUUCUCGGCUAACACUAGCAUAAGAUGUGGGGUUCCUCAAGGCUCCAUUUUGGGACCUGUCCUGUUUAAUCUGUAUAUACUACCACUGGGAAAUAUCAUUAGAGAACACGUUUUCAUAGCAAUGCCGUAUACACACAACUUUACAUAUCUUUAUCACCCAAUGACAUCAGCCCUAUCGAUAAACUGGUUGAAUGCAUUGAUCAUAUCAACCUAUGGAUGACAAGUUAUUUCCUACAAUUGAACAAAGAUAAGACAGAGGUCUUUAAUAUCGGGGCAAAGGACCAGAGAGAGAUACUGUGUACUAAUUAAAAAUCCCUGGUACAAAACGCCAAGCCCCUAGCAAAACUCUUGGUAUGAUUGUAGUCCCUGAUUUGAAUUUUAAAUCUCACAUGAGUAAUGUAACGAAAACCGCUUUCUAUCACGAUGAAAUAUUGCUUAAGUGCAACCGCUUCUCUCCCAGGCAGAUACUAAGAGACUAAUGCAUGCUUUUAUUAGCAGGCUUGAUUAUUGUAAUGCACUCCUAUCUGGCCUUCCUCAAAAAGCUACAAAAAGAGGCCACAGAUCAUACAGAAUGCAGCAGCACGUGUACUGACCAAGACCAGAAUGAGAGCACACCUCUCACCCGUCUUAAAGUCCCUUCAUUGGUUGCCUGUCAGAUUUAGAAUCGAUUUUAAAAUCCAUUUUAGUGUACAAAACCUACCCACUACAGCAUACACUACAUUAUUUUAGUGUAUUCCCCCUCUAGAUCCUUAGGGUCCUCUGGCACAGGCAUUUCAGUUGUUUCCCGGGUGAGGACAGGGACCUACGGGGAGGCGGCUUUAAGUGUCAAUGGUCCUCGCCUCUGGAACAGCCUCCCACAGGAGCUGAGGACUUCACAAUCUGUAACCACAUUCAGAAGUAACCCUAAGACAUACCUAUUUCGCUGAGCGAAAUAGGUCUGUGUAUCACCAAGUGAUAUAGAUACAGAUACAUUUUGUGAUCUAUAAACAUAGAGAGAGAUUUUUUUUUUAUACUAUUGUUUUACUUAUAUUAUCAUUUAUUUUCACUGUAAUGUUGUAUUCAAAUUGUACUGCUGUAUCUUUUUGCUGUUCUGUUAAGCACCUUGUAUUGUAACUUUGCACGAAAGGCGAUAUAUAAAUAAAGUUUGUAUUAUCUCACCCAAG
ensembl:lncRNA